rnacentral:tRNA from 1 species
AGCAUGAUGGUCUCUUAACGGUCAUGACUUCCGCUUGUCAAUCCCAUUAGGAAACAAGCGCGGGAGACCUGGUUUCGACUCCCAGUCGGGGAGGCUU